rnacentral:misc_RNA from 1 species
UUAAGUUCAGCGGGUAGUCCUACUUGAUUUGAGGUAUAAUGUUCAAAGUAUUGUCCAAUGAAGGACUGUUAGAAGCCAAACUUCAUUACAACUAUGCAGUGAAGAUAUUAUCACACUACACGUAACGUUGUAACUCGAUUCAACUAAUGCAUUCAAGGGAAAGCCAGAUCUAAUGAAAGGCCAGCAAAUCCCCAAAUCCA